AGAAAAGCAGAAAUGAGAGAGGGGAAAGAAAGGGCGAAAGAGGUAGAAGGAGUGGUGGGAAAUGGGUGCUUGGGCAAAGCUACAAGAAGAAGAAUCAGUCUUCGUGCCUUUACCCAACCCACCCAUGCCUGUCGUUUCUUCUGCUUCCUCUCUUUCCACUCCCCUCUUCACUCUAACUCUUCUCUUUCCUUCAUUUUUUAUGAUUAUGCAGAUUAUCUUCCAACACGUAAAUCAAAGGGACUAAGAGGUUCCUAGGAGCAGUUUGAGUGCUUACAACCAAAAUUAUGAACUGAAAAUUUUGCAUCUCCUACUAAAUCUGAUGGCAACGUUGCAUCUUAGAGGAAGAAGAAAAUCAAUAAGCCUCCCCUGUUCAUGUCAAGGCCCGAAGUAUUUGUUGCAUUUUAUGCUUUCUUACUCUAUGUUUGGUACCAUGUUAGUUCAAACUUCCCCUGAAAACGGUGGUACUCCAGUGUUGCCGAUGGUGAUGGUGGCGGGGAAGCAGUGGCAACGAUUAAACAGUGAGGGUGAUAUUGUUGUUGGCCUCAUUAUUUACUGCAAUUGACUUCACACGAGAAUGCGGUGGUGGGGAGGCAGCUUGAUCGAUGUUAGAGAGGAACUAGUGAUGCUUUCUUACUUUUGUUUGAAUUUCCUUAAUUAUUCUUUUGUCUAUCCUUUGAUGAUAUUGUUGAACAUGUCAGAAUGGGGCUGAGUAUAAACUUGCAUGUGGGCCAAAAGCAUUCGUUGCUGUAUCAAAUCCUAUAGUUGUAAGACAUAUUCUGUGAGAAAAAUGCAUUUGUUUUAUGGCAAGGUACCAUCUUAGAUCUGUUUGCCCCUUUUUUAUAAAUACGUUGAGUUUCUUUUAGCUCUUGGAAAUACAUUGGUAGCCUCAAGACAAUAUAUGAGGUCAAGUGAUUUACAACCUUUUAGUGAUCCAUUUUUUAUUUCACUGUUUCGAACAAUUAAGUAAUGUGUAAUGUGGCUCAAGUUCAUAGGGGAUAAAUUUGUGGCUAUUGGAGAUGAUUAAAGACAACUAAAGACAGUGAAAGUGGUGCUACGCUCUUUGAUCUCUCAAUGAAGUAUUGUUUAUACAAGAAAUUGUAUAGGUCACUUCAGUGAGAGAGAAGAAAAUUUCAUUUCAAUUGAUAGAGAAACAGAGGUGGGGCUUCUGGUGCAUUUCAUUGAAAAUAUUUUCUUAUAUAUUGCUUUAGUUUUGAUGUAUAGCUUUGCCGGCAUUUUGUGGGAAUAAUUUCAACUGGAUGCGAUCUUCUUUCCUAACGUUGAAACUCUUGUGAAUAUUGUAUUUCAUGUUACCUGAAUCCAUUAAUCUUGGAGAGCAUGUUAGAAUUUAUCUCUAAAACAGUUUGAUUGUGAUGAAUUGACGUCACGGGCAAGAGAAAAUUUUUAUUCUUUAAUUCACUACAUGAUUGCACCUUCUGUAAAAGUUUAUGAAACCAAACUGUUAUUUAGUUAUUAUGUUCCAUGUCUGCAUAUAGUAAUGAUUACGUAGCAGGCUUUGGUAUUUUCAGUUUAUGUCAAAAUACAUUUUAAGUUCCAAUUUGUGCCGUUAUAAUGAAAGCAUAUUCUUUAGUUUACGUAGCUAUAUUAUAGUUCCUUACUUUGUUUUCUUUAUCAAACUCUUUUAGUGAAUGUUUUGUUGCUGUAUUUGUUCCAAAAAAAGUUCUUGUAAUUGACUUCAAAAUUUUACUUGCUGCUUCUUUUCAUUUUUCAUAUCUUUGUACUGAAGAACAAAAAAGUAUAUUCAAUAUGCCUUCUUUAUGCUCUUGUGCUUUGUGUGACAUGUAACAAUUAUUUAUUUAUUUGGUGUGCUCUGUUCUCCUUUUUUAUAUUGUCCAUUUUUAUUUCCCAUCCUUCUAUAAUCUUAAAUGUUUUUCAUACUGUGCUACCUUGUAUAGAUGAUGUCAUUUCUUCUUGUCAAUUUUCUGUUUGAAGUGAUUAAAAUCUGGAGAUGCUUUCAAUUGCACCUAUACAUGGUAACCAAAUAUGAUUGAUGCAUAUCUGCUAUAAAAUUUGAUAUCAUCUGGUGCUUCAAUGGUCUAUCACAAUAUUGUUAAUUAUUAUAUAUUGAUUUUUACAUUUUAUGCAACGUGCAGGGACUCAAAUAUCGGACUGUUUUUCUUAACAGCAACAAUUUUGAGGAAACUUCUUUCUUUCAAACCUUAGAAUGUACUCUUCGCAUCUAUUGCCUCUCUUUUAUGAAAGUUUUAUCUGCUCUUGAUCCCUAAAGAAGAAAGUAAGGAAGCAGAUGAAAACUCAAAAAAGAGUAUUAGCACUUUUGUUGUUGGGGAUUUAUGCAUAUAGAUUGACUAGCUAUGUAUAUGCUGCAAGGGUCUUCUGGAACCCACCUUUUAUGAGAUCCUUUCUACAAGGAGGGCUCUUCUUCAGCUUACCAAGAGGCAUUAAUAUGAGACCAGUAGCUUGAAGUGCCUUGCUUUUGUAGUUUUAGGUCCUUUUGUUUGUGUUAAAUUAUGGAAUUAAGUUUAUGUAGGAAGUUUUCUGUAUUUUCUUUUCUGGGGCUAUGUAGGGCAAAAUCACCUAUUGUCCCCAAUGGAUAUAAGCAUUUGGCUCUUUGGCCUUUUGAAUAAUCAUGUAUUAGGUUGUAAAGUUAAGACAUAGCAAUUCAAUAUUAUUGUCUUAACAAGUCUAUUGAUGGAGAAAAAUUAAGAGAAAAAUAAAAGGAUUACAAAAUUGAAGAUCCAA